CAUAGCCUGGUUCCACUCUACACCACCAGAAUACUUAAACACCCUGUGUUUUAAUGUCCUCCCGUGUAACGUGGAGGUGAUAUUACUACCUCACAGGACUCUCACAGGAGUUAAAUGAGAAAAAUCGAGGCGGCCGUCCCUCAGUAUUAGCACAUAGCUAACAUUGGUCAGUUAGCUUGAAGAUGCUCUCUUCCAAUGAGUGACUCACAGAUUCAACCGCUUGCAAAUUACAGCCCACCUCUAGGACACGUGGCUUUCACAUUUCCAAGAGGCAAGUGGAGAGAAGAGGAAGUAGGUUGUUCAGGAUGUAUUAAGAACAAGAAGUCUCUCAGGAACGACCCAGCACGGAACACAGUGCUCACUUACUAAUUCUAGGAUGACAUCCUGUCCUAGCUGCCUACACGUCUGUGGGACAGAUGCUGUUUUCUCAUCUCCAGACUAGAAAGACCCUGCUGAAGAAU